UCACAGGCUGUUCGGCCGUCGCCAGAUCUGCGCCCAGGCCGGACGGACAACGGCCGGCCGACGUCCCCCGGCGCUGGAUCUUCGAAAAGAACCGGGAAGUGGAUUUCGUGAUGGAGACUGGUGCCUGUAAUAGAUGCAUACAUGAAAUCUGUAUAUAAAUACACGGAGAGUAGUGCCAGGGAUCAUGAGGAACCAAGAUGCUUUUCAGCUGAUAGUGUAUUACCUGAUUUUCUUCAGGUAUCGUUAGUAUGUCUAUGUUGUUGUUUCUUCACCUUCUCUUAACCUGUGCGUGAUAACAUGCUCAGCAGUUUCAAGACGGUAGAUCAUAUUCUGAUCAUGAUUUCUUCUACCAGUUUAUAAUUCAAUGUUUAAAAAAGCGUGAAGCCUAAGCGAAGCGGAAAGAGCGAUGGGCGCUUAAGCGUUCUAAAGUAAUAGGCGAUAGUCUGGCUAUUUUUGAGUAUCAUCCUGCAGGAAAGUAGGACACCAUAGCACAUAGGGAACUGAAAUAUAUAGCAUAUAUAAGAUGCAGUUGGGGUAGGUUUGCAUCAUAGCAAAUAGCAUCAGGCUCACACAGCAAUCGAAGUGACAGCGAAAAUGCAGUCCAGUUGAAAUAGACAUAGCUUAAUAGAGAUCACGUGGCCAAAAUUUGGCCAGAAUUUUCAGGAAAUAGUUCCCAAACUGAUCCUAAUGUUAAUUUAAUAAGAUAAAUGGCAUAUUGCGCUUAUUGCACAAGCGGCCAAGCAGAAGUAGUUCAAAAACAGCCACAUUCUGGGUUUUCUUUAAAAAACUUCAUCUACGCCCUAGUUUCUGCGUGAGGUGUUUUACCAUUGCUCAGCACUUAAGACUACAAUUAAAAAUGAUUUCUUGAACACUGUUAUAAAUAGGCACCAGUAAACCUAAGAGAUGCUAGCUCGUGUUUCAUGAUGAUAAAUAGGUAACAGUAUCAUCAUCUGCAUCUUAUAUACCCUAGAAAAUGAUAUUGUCUUAUCGUUCGACUCUAUUGCUGCGUCAUUAUCAACAAUGGGACGUGCACCAACAACGAGUAUGGUUAUGGUUUUUAUGCUCGUUGUUGUCUAAAUUGAGAACAACGUAUGUACUUUUUACUUAGGUGCCACUGAUUUUUUACAUGCAAGCAAAAUUUGUAAGGUGGGUGAAUAUCGAGUUAACUAUAGAAAGGUCUUAUUCAAGGGUGGUAGUUCUUUUGGGAAGCGCCUUCGUUGCCAAAUGCUAAGCUAUCUUAGUUUCCUGUCCUUACGAGGUUAGCCACGAUAUCUCCAUGUCCAAGUUAAGAGACUUGGGCGCAUAGCAAGCCUAAUCAUACUAGCUUUGGUUAAAACCCUACAAAAAAAUGCAACACCAUUUCUAUUCCAUGGCAAAGUUACAGCAAUAGAGAAACUUCAGAAGACAUAUAAGGGAUUGACUUUUCUUAGCUUGUUAUAUAUUUCCUCCGUUUGAAAAUAAGCGUCAUGGUUUUAGUUCAAUUUGAACCAUGACACUUUGGAACGGAGGGAGUAUGUGGUUUUGCACUGUGCUAAUGCUAGCCUCUGCUUGGAACUUUCUGCUAAUAAGGGAGUCAGAAAAGUAAAUUUGCAUAGCAAGCAGACAGAGAACUUAGCUGACUGGUGUUUUAUCUUGUUCUGUUACUUAUAUAGCCUACUAGUUAAGAGGCUUCCCUCUGUAAUGUGUACCACUGAUGCUUGAUUGUCUUUGUUAAUCUGAUAAGAUGACUUCCAUCAUGUCGAAGCAGACAUAACGGACGUGCUCUCGUGAUACAAUCUUAAUUUAUUGUGCUAGGUUAUGCAUUAUCAGCACUGCCUCUAGUAUACUUUUGUGCAAUUUUGUCCUGUAAUAGAAUACAUAUGCCACUAUUAUAUUCACCAAUAUUUUUUCUUGGUCUUCAAUCUCUAAGCGAGAGUCCUAUUUUGCUGGCUUUAUCCUGAUUUUUUUCUCACUUAUCUGGUAAAUGGAGCAGAUGGACUUGUGGUCGGAGUUGUUUCAUCAUUGGACAAGAAAUUGGAAGUUAAACCAUGUUUUUUAAAGAUUUUUUUUCUAGAAGACAAGUACCCAGCAGAAUUCCCUUGCAAAUAUAGUAACAAGACAAUGCAUUCAUUUGAAGUAUAAAAUCAGUUGCUGUUGAUAUUUUGCAAUUCAAGUGUUAAUUUUUGUCAGUUUUUUUAGUUAAUCUUAUUCUCUAUAGUACUAACAAUUUUUUUGCAGGCUAUGGUCUCAUUUCAGAAAAUAGAAGGUGUUGAAGUAUGCCUCUUUGGCAUGUAUGAUUUGGUGCAGAAUGUGCAGGACCCAAACCAACUUCAGGGUUAUCUGUCAUUGAUUCUGUCAGAUUCUCUAGAGGCGUAAAAAUAGUGUCCAGGGAGGCCUUGCGGACAUGUCUCUAUCAUGAAAUUCUUGUAAUCCAUUAUUCUAGUUGGUUCUUUUUUUCCUAAUUUCUAGAAAGCUUUGGCAUGCCAAUCAGAGCGUAAUUGGUUUCCUAAGUCCACCAUGUAUGCAAACUUCAGUUUCAUUAUUUUGGAAUACCUUCUGCUCUUAGUAUAACACUACUUUUAUAUGCUCAAUACAGAUCAGUUAUCUUCAGUAUUGUAAGCAGCGGGUAUUCACUAGCUGUUACAUUUGGGCUUUCCCACCUUUGAAGGCUGAAAGAUAACUGCAGCUCGCUUGCCAUAUUUGAGGGAGAUUAUUUGCCAGGAGCUGCAGAAGAUAUGAUCAACAAGCUUUUCCUAGAAGAUGAUAGAAAGUAAAGAAGACCAUCACAAAAAGAGCUUUGAGAGCUGAGUGGUAAUGCUUCCGGGGACACCUGAUGCUAAAGAUAUACGAGUAGUUUCAUGAAUGUCAAUGAAGAAUGAAUAUCUGACAAAACACGGAUGGUCUGAAGAGGCAAGGAUGCUAUGAACCAUGAUCUUGAUGGGAGGUUUAAGGAGUCCACAGGGGCGCUCUCUUUCUUGCCUUGGGCGUUCUUCCUGUUGUCUCGGCGCGCCCUCUUUGCAGCUCGAUUAGCUUUCUUCUGUGCCGCCUCCUGCUGGCGGUUCUUAUCCUCAAGAAGCCGUGCUGCCUCCUCGGCGGCAUGCACUCGGUCAUGGUUUUGAACCACCGAGAGGAUAAACAGUCCUUUCAGAUCUGUCUUAUGAUUCCUAGAUUGAACUGGGCAAGAAUAAGAACGUGGUGGUCCAUGAAGAUCGGACUCGAAGAAAUGUAGGUGGCCAACAUGUAAUGGAGAGCCGUGGAGGGAGUUAAAAGUGAAGAAUUUGGGAGUUGCCCCAGAAAAAAAGAGGACGGCUUCUACUUCGAGCCGUGGCGGCUGCUCAUUAAAAUUGCCACAAGUUUCUUUGAUGAAAGAAGAGUAUGGGAACUAAUGACACGCAGAAUUGGAAUUGGAAUUGUGAGCUAAUGCUCGUUGGAGUAACUAAUCUGCUGAAUGUUGCCAGGCUGCAUUAUAUUUGGAUAGACUGUUUUGGUAGAUGUGAUUUCGUUGUGUGUUGCAUGCCACAUGUUGCUGGGGUAUAGAUUUUUCGGCACAGGCGCCGCUGUUCAGUGUUCUUUUUUUUUUGCUUUCGGAACCUCUUAUGUGUCCUGAGCAAUUGUCUUGUCGUUUUUUCUUAUCAAUAUGAAUAAAAUCGUUAUUUCCGGAAAGAAUUGAUUCUA